rnacentral:rRNA from 1 species
GAUGAACGCUAGCGGCAGGCCUAAUACAUGCAAGCCGAACGGCAAGUCUUAUAGCAAUAUGAGACCUAGAGUGGCGUAAGGGUGCGUAACACGUAUGCAAUCUGCCCGCAACCGGAGGAUAGCUCCCCGAAAGGGAAGUUAAGACUCCAUAAAAUAGGAGAGGUGGCAUCACCAUUUCUAUUAAAUUACAAGAGGUUGUGGAUGAGCAUGCGCAUGAUUAGUUAGUUGGCGGGGUAAGGGCCC